UCCUAGGUGGUCUAGUGGUUAGGAUUUGGCACUUUCACUGCUGUGGCCUGGGUUCAAUCCCUGGCCUGGGAA
rfam:Sus scrofa isolate TJ Tabasco breed Duroc chromosome 4, whole genome shotgun sequence.